rnacentral:rRNA from 1 species
AUUGAACGCUGGCGGCAGGCCUAACACAUGCGAGUCGAGCGGUAGCACAGAGAGCUUGCUCUCGGGUGACGAGCGGCGGACGGGUGAGUAAUGUCUGGGAAACUGCCUGAUGGAGGGGGAUAACUACUGGAAACGGUAGCUAAUACCGCAUGACGUCGCAAGACCAAAGAGGGGGACCUUCGGGCCUCUUGCCAUCAGAUGUGCCCAGAUGGGAUUAGCUAGUAGGUGGGGUAACGGCUCACCUAGGCGACGAUCCCUAGCUGGUCUGAGAGGAUGACCAGCCACACUGGAACUGAGACACGGUCCAGACUCCUACGGGAGGCAGCAGUGGGGAAUAUUGCACAAUGGGCGCAAGCCUGAUGCAGCCAUGCCGCGUGUAUGAAGAAGGCCUUCGGGUUGUAAAGUACUUUCAGCGGGGAGGAAGGUGUUGAGGUUAAUAACCUCAGCAAUUGACGUUACCCGCAGAAGAAGCACCGGCUAACUCCGUGCCAGCCGCCGCGGUAA